GAUCGGUUAGUGUAAAUUUAUAGCAUAGGGGCCUUUCAAACCCACAGGUUAUCCGAUU
rnacentral:tRNA from 1 species